UACGGAGGGUGCUAGCGUUGUUCGGAAUUACUGGGCGUAAAGGGCGCGUAGGCGCCGUUUGCGUCGGAUGUGAAAGCCCGGGGCUCAACCUCGGAACGGCAUUCGAUACGGGACGGCUGGAGACCGGGAGAGGAGAGUGGAAUAGCCAGUGUAGAGGUGAAAUUCGUAGAUAUUGGCUGGAACACCGGUGGCGAAAGCGGCUCUCUGGCCCGGUUCUGACGCUGAGGUGCGAAAGGCGUGGGGAGCAAACAGG
rnacentral:rRNA from 1 species